UCAACUAUUCAAUAAGUAAUGACUACCUACUCUGUCUUUGACACUGUGAUAAGCACUAAGAUACUGUAACUGCCAACAUGGAGAUUCAGUCUAGUGCAAGACAUAGGUAACAAGCAAGGUCUACUAAUUAAACUAGGCCACCAAAGUAUUUAAUCCCUGGUGAGGUGCAGAAUGUGCAAGAGUAUCCCAGCGGGAAUCUCAGUAUCCUCUGAAGAGUUUAUAAUGUUCCUGGGACUUCAAAUACAGUACCUUUAACAGUGGGCUGACAGAGCUCUACAACAAUGGUGAAACCUGCACUUUGCACAAAGCCUGGUGAGCAAGAGUGAGGACUGAGGGCUACCUCCUGCUGAAAUGCCCUGUGAAGUAGAUUCUACUGCCAACUCCAUUUAUGGGUGAGGAAAUCAAAGUAUUUCUGCUAUUGGAUUACACCAACAAAGCCACCAAUUACUGUGGAAAUUCUUCUUACCCCUUAGUGUGAAUGGAAAUCCUAGAUGGGUGGAGAAGGUCAUGUAAAUAGAUAAUCACAAUUAAAAUCACUAGACUGUGAUGAUAUGAUGUGAACAAUGACGGAAGUAUAUACCCAAAGCAGAAGAAGCCUCCGAAGGGAAUUGGAUAAAUCUGAUUAUAAGAAAGAAGACUGACAUGUUCACAGGUCACACAAUAUUUGAGAACUGUGCUUGUCUUGGCCUUUUCAUCUCGACAUUUAACGGAGAAGAAUUUCAAUUGUUUGCAGUCAAUCCCACAGUGCUUUUCCAAUUUCCCUUUGUUUUCUUUGGGAUUUUCAAGAAACCUCACGUGCCCUACAUAAUUCAGUUAUGAUUCCAGAGGAACUUGGUGCCUCAAAGUGACAGAUGAUUUUUAAAAAUAUUUCAACACCUGUGUAUUAGAAGCAGCAUUGCAUUAAGAAUCAAGAGUCCAGAGCUAGACGCCAGGCCCUGCCAUUAAUUAGUUGUGUGACCUUCAGACACAGUGAGAAGAUGGCCAGGUGCAAGCCGGGAAGAGGGGCCUUGUCAAAAUAUGCCCAUGCUGCUACCCUGAUCUCACAUUUCCAUCUCCAGAACGAUGAGGAAACUGAGUCAUAGAGAAUUUGACUCCUAUUGAUCAAAACGCUCCAUGACACAAGGACAGUCAGCUCCAUGUACAGAAAAGGAAGCUAAACCUUGACAGCACACAGAUUUG